GCUCCUGCGGUAGUUUACUACCAAGGGAAGACUUAGCGGCGAACGGGUGAGUAACGCGUGGAUAACCUGCCUUUAGCAGGGGGAUAACACAAGGAAACUUGUGCUAAUACCGCAUAAAAUCAUAAAUAGGCAUCUAUUAAUGGUCAAAGGAGAAAUCCGGCAAAAGAUGGAUCCGCGUCCAAUUAGCUAGUUGGUGAGGUAACGGCCCACCAAGGCGACGAUUGGUAGCCGAACUGAGAGGUUGAUCGGCCACAUUGGGACUGAGACACGGCCCAGACUCCUACGGGAGGCAGCAGUGGGGAAUAUUGCACAAUGGGGGAAACCCUGAUGCAGCAACGCCGCGUGAAGGAAGAAGGCCUUCGGGUUGUAAACUUCUUUGAUAAGGGAAGAAUAAUGACUGUACCUUAAGAACAAGCCACGGCUAACUACGUGCCAGCAGCCGCGGUAAUACGUAGGUGGCAAGCGUUGUCCGGAAUUACUGGGUGUAAAGGGCGUGUAGACGGGAUUACAAGUCAGGUGUGAAAUAGUUAGGCUCAACCUAGCUGCUGCACCUGAAACUGAAAUUCUUGAGUGUCGGAGAGGAAAGCGGAAUUCCUAGUGUAGCGGUGAAAUGCGUAGAUAUUAGGAGGAACACCAGUGGCGAA
rnacentral:rRNA from 1 species